AUGCAUAUGUUGACCUUUCAAGAUGUUCUUCCAAGUCCAAGGUUUGACGGUUUGGCUAUUACCUAUAGUAAAUUUGUUGGGUGUAGUAUUUAACCAAUAGAAAUCUUUUCAUAAACUUUAAGGUUAGUAAUUAAAUGCCAUGGUUGUUUAGCUAAAAGAGCUUCAUUCAUGAGUUGAAGUUUGCAAAUGCCAAGACCACCAUUCAGCAUGGGAAUACAAAGCUGUUCCCAUUGACAUAAAUGCAAACCUCACUUACUUGGGUCAUGU
rnacentral:lncRNA from 1 species